UGGGGAAUCAUGGUCAAUGGGCGAAAGCCUGAACCUGCGACGCCGCGUGAGUGAUGAAGGUCGUAAGAUCGUAAAACUCUUUUCAGGGAUCAUAAAGCCUGUCUGUCAACAACAGGCAGGUCUGACUCUCCCUGGAAGAAGCCCCAGCCAACUACGUGCCAGCAGCUGCGGUAAUACGUAGGGGGCGAGCGUUAUUCGGAAUUACUGGGUGUAAAGGGUAUGUAGUCGGCCCUUCAAGUCGCGUGUCAAAGUCCAGUGCUCAACGCUGGGUGUGCACGCGAUACUGACGGGCUUGGGGGCUGGAGAGGUGAGCGGAAUUCCCGGUGUAGUGGUAAAAUACGUAGAGAUCGGGAGGAACACCAGCGGCGCAGGCGGCUCACUAGACAGUUUCUGACGCUAAGAUACGAAAGCGUGGGGAGCAAACA
rnacentral:rRNA from 1 species